rnacentral:rRNA from 1 species
UACGAAGGGGGCUAGCGUUGUUCGGAUUUACUGGGCGUAAAGCGCACGUAGGCGGAUCGUUAAGUCAGGGGUGAAAUCCUGGGGCUCAACCCCAGAACUGCCUUUGAUACUGGCGAUCUCGAGUCCGGAAGAGGUGAGUGGAACUCCUAGUGUAGAGGUGAAAUUCGUAGAUAUUCGCAAGAACACCAGUGGCGAAGGCGGCUCACUGGCCCGAUACUGACGCUGAGGUGCGAAAGCGUGGGGAGCAAACAGG